CUCCUUUGUGAAGGAGCUUGACGGUACCGUACGAAUAAGGAUCGGCUAACUCCGUGCCAGCAGCCGCGGUAAUACGGAGGAUCCAAGCGUUAUCCGGAAUCAUUGGGUUUAAAGGGUCCGUAGGCGGGAUAAUCAGUCAGUGGUGAAAGUCUGCAGCUCAACUGUAGAAUUGCCAUUGAUACUGUUAUCCUUGAGUAAUUAUGAAGUGGUUAGAAUAUGUAGUGUAGCGGUGAAAUGCAUAGAUAUUACAUAGAAUACCGAUUGCGAAGGCAGAUCACUAAUAAUUUACUGACGCUGAUGGACGAAAGCGUAGGUAGCGAACAGGAUUAGAUACCCUGGUAGUCUACGCCGUAAACGAUGGUUACUAGCUGUUUGGCUCGAUUGAGAGCUGAGUGGCUAAGCGAAAGUGAUAAGUAACCCACCUGGGGAGUACGUUCGCAAGAAUGAAACUCAAAUGAAUUGACGGAGCGCCGUCAA
rnacentral:rRNA from 1 species